GUCGUGGGGCUUUCUUCUUGUGUGUAUCCGCUAUUGCAGCGAGUUUUGUAGAGGGACCUGUCUGACAUUACCAUGACAUAGUUGGUAUUCUUGUUCAGAUUUAUCUGUGGAAAGUGUUACACGUAAUGACCAGCACGUUUGAGCGGUUUUUGCGGCUGUACUGGCGGUAUCUUGGAUUCAUCAGCGCUGGUCGAACUACACCGAUUUCCUCAGCUAUAAUUCUUCCAUAAGGAGAUCUGUUUACCUUUCUAUGGUUGUUUCUGAAACCCAAGACUUCAUGUAGGUGGCGUACAGGAACAUGUGCAAACACGUUCUACAUCCCAAAAUAUGUUGCUGGAAGCGUUCAAUAAAUGCUGUUAAGUUUCACCAUCAU